UUUUCAGCUUAACUUAGUUGUAUGUUUCAGGUUACUUAGUUUCAAACAGUUCCAACCGACUAAUCUAUCUAUUGGUCACAAAAAACACUCGCUCUAUUUGCUGAGAAUAGACACGAGUUCCCCUGGGUUGUUAAUUAACUCUAAUCCUAACCCUUAACCAGCCCAGUAGUGAGAGUCAACCCCUUGAGUUAUCUUCCCCUCAAGAGAUCCAAACUGCCUGACCUAGCCUGUCAGUUUCCACAGCUUUUAGUUCUCUCUCACACACACACACACCCUCCAAACUCCAAAACUGAACUGCUCUCUUCAAACCCCAAAACAAAACUGCCUUCUCCAAACCCUCCAAACAGAACUGCCUGGAGCUCUUUUUUUCCUCUCUGCACUCUAAGACUUAGCUCCUCCCAUCUGCUCUGGUUGGCCAAUCCUAGGAGUCUCUCUCUAAGCUCCUCCCCCUAUCUAACCACACUCAAGAUGGCUGCCUGGCAUUCCUCAACAAAAUGGAUGCCUGCCUCACUCACUGUUACCAAGGCUUCAUUCCCGGCUAAUAGGACUUCACAGCAUCUUCCCUCAGCUUGGAAAAAGUUGAGCUUGGGCUAGAGAAACUGAGACAAUGGAAAAAGGAGGCUGAUGGAGAGAGCUAAAGGAACAGGAAAUUGGAUGAAAGAAAAAGAGGGGAAACACAGAAAAGAGAAGACGGGAGCCAUAAAGAGAAUGGGAAAAUAAAACAAUAAAAACUACUCCCCAGAAGGCAUCGACUAUUAGUCUGCCUGCCUGUUAGCUUGUAGCUUCGGUGGAAUCUCUUUGUACACAACCACUAAUGCACACAUACCUAGGGUGCUCGAAGAUAGGCCUCUGUAGUAGAGGUGCUGAAUUAUUUUUUAAUGCUAGAUGAUCUGUAUCACUAGUGGUCAAUGUCUGGGGCAAAAGAAGUCACAGUCAUGUGGCAUGCCCUCCUAAUGCUAGCAGCUACACAACUUGUGUGGGACCCCACCCCUCCUUGACCUUUGCUUUUACCAUAAUUCUGUUUGGUCAAGCAGGACAGUGGCCAAACUGUACAGCCAAAUUUGAUUUUUCUCAUGUUUAAUGAGUACUGACUAUACCAUUUUGCGAACUUACUUACUCUGUUGUUUUUUCUUUUUUCUGUUUUUUUUUUCUUUUUUACUGUCCGUUUUAUUUUUAUAUACACUAUAAAAUAAAAUAAAAUAUUUUAAAAAUUA